GACGAACCGAGCGAACGUUGUUCGGAAUCACUGGGCUUAAAGGGCGCGUAGGCGGGUGCUCAAGUCCGGGGUGAAAUCCUCCAGCUCAACUGGAGAACUGCCUCGGAUACUGGGUGCCUCGAGGGUGGUAGGGGUAUGCGGAACUAUCGGUGGAGCGGUGAAAUGCGUUGAUAUCGAUAGGAACUCCGGUGGCGAAGGCGGCAUACUGGACCACAUCUGACGCUGAGGCGCGAAGGUCAGGGGAGCAAACGGG
rnacentral:rRNA from 1 species